rnacentral:rRNA from 1 species
AUAACUGUAAUAACUCUAGAGCUAAUACAUGCCUCGAUGCCCUGACCCCUUGUGGGAAUGGGUGCACUUAUUAGAUCAGAAGCCAACCGUGCAUACCGCAAGGUGUGCAUGUUGACCUUCUGGUGACUCUGGAUAAUUGUUACAGAUCGCAGUCGGCCUUGAGUCGGCGACGGGUCCUUCAAAUGUCUGCCCUAUCAACUGUCGAUGGUAGGUGACCUGCCUACCAUGGUGAUAACGGGUAACGGGGAAUCAGGGUUCGAUUCCGGAGAGGGAGCCUGAGAAACGGCUACCACUUCCAAGGGAGGCAGCAGGCGCGCAAAUUACCCACUCCCAGUACGGGGAGGUGGUGACGAAAAAUACCGAUGCGGGACUCAAUAACGAGGCUCCGUAAUCGGAAUGAGUGAACUCUAAAUCCUUUCACGAGGAUCAAUUGGAGGGCAAGUCUGGUGCCAGCAGCCGCGGUAACUCCAGCUCCAAUAGCGUAUAUUAAAGUUGCUGCAGUUAAAAAGCUCGUAGUUGGAUCUCGGUAUCACUGGGGCCUGCCGAGGGCGGUUGUUGCGUUGCUGCGACGUCACGUCAAGGCUGUGCAGUGGCCACCUGAGGUAUGCAGUCCUGGUGUCACCUUUCAGCCAUGUCUGUGGUGAAAUACCCGCAGGUGUAGGCUAGUGUCAGGCGGUGCUUUGCAUCUGUAAGGCCCGUCGGCUAGUUUGCAUGCCUUUAGAUGCCCUUCAUUAGGUGUCUGUUGGCGGAUGGCACGUUUACUUUGAACAAAUUUGAGUGCUCAAACCAGGCCGAUGUUGCCUGAAAAGUUUUGCAUGGAAUAAUGGAAUAGGACUUCGGUUCUAUUUCGUUGGUUUUCGGAUCCGAAGUAAUGAUCAAAAGAGACAGGCGGGGACGUUUGUAUGGCUGCGCUAGAGGUGAAAUUCAUGGACCGUAGCCAGACAAACUAAAGCGAAAGCAUUCGUCAAGCAUGUUUUCAUUGGCCAUGAGCGAAAGUCAGAGGCUCGAAGACGAUCAGAUACCGUCCUAGUUCUGACCAUAAACGAUGCCAACUGACGAUCCGUGGUGGUAGUAAACAACCUUCCCCACGGGCAGUCCCCGGGAAACCAUUAAGUCUUUGGGUUCCGGGGGAAGUAUGGUUGCAAAGCUGAAACUUAAAGGAAUUGACGGAAGGGCACCACCAGGAGUGGAGCCUGCGGCUUAAUUUGACUCAACACGGGAAAACUCACCCGGCCCGGACACUGUGAGGAUUGACAGAUUGAUAGCUCUUUCUUGAUUCAGUGGUUGGUGGUGCAUGGCCGUUCUUAGUUGGUGGAGCGAUUUGUCUGGUUAAUUCCGAUAACGAACGAGACUCCAGCCUGCUAAUUAGUGUGUUCGUCCUCUGUGCUUGUGUGGGCGGCUGCCGACAAGGCUGCUCCUGUUUGCUGCGGCGGUCAGGCAUCGCAAGGUGUUUGGCUGUCGUAGUUAGGGGGCUUGCCGGCUCGGCGCUAGUCUCCGGGUGCGGCGCGAAUACCUACUUCUUAGAGGGACAAGCGGGAAAAGCCGCACGAAAUUGAGCAAUAACAGGUCUGUGAUGCCCUUAGAUGUCCGGGGCCGCACGCGCGCUACAAUGACGGUGCCAACGAGUCUGACCUUCUGGCCCGAAAGGGUUGGGCAAACUGGUCAAUCACCGUCAUGACAGGGAUCGGGGCUUGGAAUUGUUCCCCGUGAACGAGGAAUUCCUAGUAAGUGCAAGUCAUAAGCUUGCGCUGAUUACGUCCCUGCCCUUUGUACACACCGCCCGUCGCUACUACCGAUUGAAUGGUUUAGUAAGGUCCUUGGAUCGGCGCCAUUGUGGCGGCUGCCGAAAGGUGGUCGUCCGACGUGUGCUGAGAAGA